rnacentral:tRNA from 1 species
GGAGAGAUGCUCGAGUGGUUGAAGAGGCACGCCUGGAAAGCGUGUAUACGUCAAAAGCGUAUCGCGGGUUCGAAUCCCGCUCUCUCCGCUA